rnacentral:rRNA from 1 species
CCAGCUUGCUGGGUGGAUUAGUGGCGAACGGGUGAGUAACACGUGGGUGAUCUGCCCUGCACUCUGGGAUAAGCCUGGGAAACUGGGUCUAAUACCGGAUAUGACCUCGGGAUGCAUGUCCUGGGGUGGAAAGUUUUUCGGUGCAGGAUGAGCCCGCGGCCUAUCAGCUUGUUGGUGGGGUAAUGGCCUACCAAGGCGACGACGGGUAGCCGGCCUGAGAGGGCGACCGGCCACACUGGGACUGAGACACGGCCCAGACUCCUACGGGAGGCAGCAGUGGGGAAUAUUGCACAAUGGGCGCAAGCCUGAUGCAGCGACGCCGCGUGAGGGAUGACGGCCUUCGGGUUGUAAACCUCUUUCAGCAGGGACGAAGCGCAAGUGACGGUACCUGCAGAAGAAGCACCGGCCAACUACGUGCCAGCAGCCGCGGUAAUACGUAGGGUGCGAGCGUUGUCCGGAAUUACUGGGCGUAAAGAGCUCGUAGGCGGUUUGUCGCGUCGUCUGUGAAAUCCCGCAGCUCAACUGCGGGCUUGCAGGCGAUACGGGCAGACUCGAGUACUGCAGGGGAGACUGGAAUUCCUGGUGUAGCGGUGAAAUGCGCAGAUAUCAGGAGGAACACCGGUGGCGAAGGCGGGUCUCUGGGCAGUAACUGACGCUGAGGAGCGAAAGCGUGGGUAGCGAACAGGAUUAGAUACCCUGGUAGUCCACGCCGUAAACGGUGGGCGCUAGGUGUGGGUUUCCUUCCACGGGAUCCGUGCCGUAGCCAACGCAUUAAGCGCCCCGCCUGGGGAGUACGGCCGCAAGGCUAAAACUCAAAGGAAUUGACGGGGGCCCGCACAAGCGGCGGAGCAUGUGGAUUAAUUCGAUGCAACGCGAAGAACCUUACCUGGGUUUGACAUGUACCGGACGACUGCAGAGAUGUGGUUUCCCUUGUGGCCGGUAGACAGGUGGUGCAUGGCUGUCGUCACUCCUGUCGUGAGAUGUUGGGUUAAGUCCCGCAACGAGCGCAACCCUUGUCCUGUGUUGCCAGCACGUGAUGGUGGGGACUCGCAGGAGACUGCCGGGGUCAACUCGGAGGAAGGUGGGGACGACGUCAAGUCAUCAUGCCCCUUAUGUCCAGGGCUUCACACAUGCUACAAUGGUCGGUACAGAGGGCUGCGAUACCGUGAGGUGGAGCGAAUCCCUUAAAGCCGGUCUCAGUUCGGAUCGGGGUCUGCAACUCGACCCCGUGAAGUCGGAGUCGCUAGUAAUCGCAGAUCAGCAACGCUGCGGUGAAUACGUUCCCGGGCCUUGUACACACCGCCCGUCACGUCAUGAAAGUCGGUAACACCCGAAGCCGGUGGCCUAACCCCU